ensembl:lncRNA
UGCACCUGACCAAUGAGAGGCCGGGGGCGGGACGGAGCUGCACCUCAGCCAAUGAGAAGAUGGGGGCGGGACGGAGCUGCGGGAGGGGCCCGGAGUGUGCCCUAUUGCAAUAGGGGAUGGCAUUGGGAUUGGGAUUGGGGUGUGGGAUUGGGAUUGGGGGUGUGGGAUUGGGGUUAGGACUGGGAUAUGAGAUUUGGGAUUGCGAUGGAUUGACACAUGGUACAUGGGGCUGGGAUGUGGGAUUGGAAUUGGGAUUCGGGAUACGGAUUGGGAUGCGGGAUACGGGAUUGGCAUGUGGGAUUGGGAAUGAGGUGUGGGAUUGGGAUUGGGGUUGGGAUUGGGAUGCGGGAAGUGGGUAUACGGGUACGGGACAGACUUGGCAAAGGUAUGGGAAUGAUAUGGGGUAGAGUUGGGACAGGAUAUGGAUAUGGGAUGGGAUUGGGAUGAUCAUAGGAUGGGAUAAGUAUACGGAAUGGAUAUGGGGUGGACACGGGAUGGAUGCGAGGAUAUGGAUUCGGGGAGGCUGUGGGAUGGAAAUGGAUAUGGGACAUGGGGUACAGGAUGGGGAUAGGAUAUGGGAUGUGCGGGUAUGGAUGUGGGAUCGCUUUAGGAUGGGGUAUGGGAUUGGAUAAGGGAUGGGACAUUGAUAUGGGAUGGAUAAGGAGAUGGGAUCGGUUUGGGAUGAGAUAUGGAUUUGAGAUGGAUUUGGGAUGGUUAUGGGAUGGAUAAGGUGAUGUGGAUAUAGAAAGAGAUUUGGCAUGGAGUUGGGAUGGGAUACGGAUACGGGAUGAGAUAUGGGAUGGGAUACGGGGAUACGGACAUGGGAUAGGGGAUGGAUACGGGAUGGAUUUGGGAUAUGGAUACGGGAUGGAUUUGGGAUAUGGGUGUGGGAUGGAUUUGGGAUAUGGGUGUGGGAUGGAUAUGAUGGUUUGGGUAUUGGAAGGGUUAUGGAUACAGGAUGGGAUAUGGGAUGGGAUAUGGAUAUGGGAUGGCUACGAGAUGGGGCUGUAGUGGUUAUAGGGCCAUGGGGGCUAUGGGCCUGGGAUGCUGCAGUGUCCCCAAAGCACCCCCUGGUGUGACACACGGAGCCCCACAGCCGCUCCUCUGCCCUUUAUUCACGUGGGGGGGGCAUCCCCCAACACCCCUUUAUCACAAAAUAAACUUUAAUCCCAAAAAUAAAGGGUGCCCCCCGCCCCCACCCCAUGGGAACAGUGCGGUCUGCAAUGGGGGACGCACUGAAUGGGUCCCCAGAGGGGGGGUCCCCAACUUUGGGAUGUGACGCCAUGGUGGGGAUGUGGGGGCACUCCCACCUCUGGGACAGACCCCAACUUUGGGCUGUGACACUGUGGGGGCGUCCCCAACUUUGGGGUCUGACACCAUUGGGGGGACACAGAGCUGUCCCAAAUUUGAGAUGUGACACUGUCGGGGCGUCCCCAACUUUGGGGUGUGACACUGUGGAGUGUCCCCAGCUUUGGGUCGGACACCAUUGGGGUGACACAGAGGUGUCCCCAACUUUGG